GAUGAACGCUAGCUACAGGCUUAACACAUGCAAGUCGAGGGGCAGCGGGGGUAGCAAUACCCGCCGGCGACCGGCGCACGGGUGAGUAACGCGUAUGCAACUUACCUAUCAGAGGGGGAUAACCCGGCGAAAGUCGGACUAAUACCGCAUGAAGCAGGGGCCCCGCAUGGGGAUAUUUGCUAAAGAUUCAUCGCUGAUAGAUAGGCAUGCGUUCCAUUAGGCAGUUGGCGGGGUAACGGCCCCACCAAACCGACGAUGGAUAGGGGUUCUGAGAGGAACGGUCCCCCCACAUUGGUACUGAGACACGGACCAAACUCCUACGGGAGCAGCAGUGAGGAAUAUUGGUCAAGUGGGCUAAGCCUGAACCAGCCAAGUCGCGUGAGGGAUGAAGGUUCUA
rnacentral:rRNA from 1 species